CGCAUCCGCUAGGGGUGUUGCGCCGCAAGGCGUGACUGAGACAGUCCCUUUGAACCUGAUUGAGGUAAUCCUCGCGCAGGGAAGGCAACGAUGACCACGA
rnacentral:ncRNA from 1 species